rnacentral:rRNA from 1 species
GGAGCCGUAGCGAAAGCGAGUUUUAACUGAGCGUUCAGUUACUUGACGUAGACCCGAAACCGGGCGACCUACCCAUGAGCAGGAUGAAGCGAAAGUAAAAUUUCGUGGAGGUCCGAACCCACGAGCGUUGAAAAGCUCGGGGAUGACUUGUGGGUAGCGGUGAAAUUCCAAUCGAGCCCGGAGAUAGCUGGUUCUCCCCGAAAUAGCUUUAGGGCUAGCCUCAAGGUGAGAGAUACGGAGGUAGAGCACUGAAUGUCCUAGGGGGUAUUGCACCUACCGAAGACUAUCAAACUCCGAAUGCCGUCAUCUUAUACUUGGGAGUCAGACUGUGGGUGAUAAGAUUCAUAGUCGAAAGGGCAACAGCCCAGAUCGUCAGCUAAGGUCCCUAAAUGUAAGUUAAGUGGUAAAGGAUGUGGGAUUGCACAGACAACCAGGAUGUUGGCUUAGAAGCAGCCACUCAUUCAAAGAGUGCGUAAUAGCUCACUGGUCGAGUGAUCCUGCGCCGAAGAUUUCCGGGGCUAAAACUUACUACCGAAGCUACGGCAUCAGUAAUGAUGGGUAGGGGAGCUUCCCAUACGGGUUGAAGCAUGACCGUAAGGACAUGUGGACAGUAUGGGAGUGAGAAUGUUGGCAUGAGUAGCGAGAUGUGGGUGAGAAUCCCACAGGCCGUAAACCCAAGGUUUCCAGGGGAAGGUUCGUCCGCCCUGGGUUAGUCGGGACCUAAGCUGAGGCCGAAAGGCGUAGGUGAUGGACAACAGGUUGAUAUUCCUGUACUACCGAUAACCGUUUGAGAGAAGGGAUGACACAGUAGGAUAAGCUAAGCACACUGUUGGUUAUGUGUGCCCAAGCAUUGAGGCAGUCAAAGUAGGCAAAUCCGCUUUGAUAAUGCUGGGAUGUGAUGGGGAGCGAAAUUUAGUAGCGAAGUAGCUGAUUUCACACUGUCAAGAAAAGUCUCUAUCGAGGUUAAAGGUACCCGUACCGCAAACCGACACAGGUGGGUGAGGAGAGUAUCCUAAGGCCAGCGAGAGAACUGUUGUUAAGGAACUCGGCAAAAUGACCCCGUAACUUAGGGAUAAGGGGUGCCACCAUCAGGUGGCCGCAGAGAAUAGGCCCAAGCGACUGUUUACCAAAAACAUAGGUUUCUGCUAAGUCGCAAGACGAUGUAUAGGAGCUGACGCCUGCCCGGUGCUGGAAGGUUAAGGGGAUCUGUUAGAGCAAUCGAAGCAGUGAACUUAAGCCCCAGUAAACGGCGGCCGUAACUAUAACGGUCCUAAGGUAGCGAAAUUCCUUGUCGGGUAAGUUCCGACCCGCACGAAAGGCGUAACGAUUUGGGCACUGUCUCAACAACAGACUCGGUGAAAUUGUAAUUCCGGUGAAGAUGCCGGAUACCUGCGACAGGACGGAAAGACCCCAUGGAGCUUUACUGUAGCUUGACAUUGGGUCUUGGUACUACAUGUACAGGAUAGGUGGGAGGCUUUGAAACCAGGACGCCAGUUUUGGCGGAGCCAUCCUUGGGAUACCACCCUUGUAGUACUGGGACUCUAACCAUAGGCCAUGAAUCUGGUCUUGGGACACUGUCAGGUGGGCAGUUUGACUGGGGCGGUCGCCUCCCAAAAGGUAACGGAGGCGCUCAAAGGUUCUCUCAGUACGGUCGGAAAUCGUACGUAGAGUGUAAAGGCAAAAGAGAGCUUGAUUGCAAGACAUACAGGUCGAGCAAGGAUGAAAAUCGGACUUAGUGAUCCGGUGGUUCUGCGUGGAAGGGCCAUCGCUCAACGGAUAAAAGCUACCCUGGGGAUAACAGGCUUAUCUCCCCCAAGAGUCCACAUCGACGGGGAGGUUUGGCACCUCGAUGUCGGCUCAUCACAUCCUGGGGCUGUAGUAGGUCCCAAGGGUUGGGCUGUUCGCCCAUUAAAGUGGUACGCGAGCUGGGUUCAGAACGUCGUGAGACAGUUCGGUCCCUAUCCGUCGCAGGCGUAGGAAAUUUGAGAAGACCUGUCCUUAGUACGAGAGGACCGGGAUGGACGUACCUCUGGUGUACCAGUUGU